rnacentral:rRNA from 1 species
CCCUUAGAUGAUUUGGGCUGCACGCGCGCUACACUGAUGCAUUCAACGAGUCCAACCUUGACCGAGAGGUCCGGGUAAUCUUUGAAACUGCAUCGUGAUGGGGCUAGAUUAUUGCAAUUAUUAAUCUUCAACGAGGAAUGCCUAGUAAGCGUGAUUCAUCAAAUCGCGUUGAUUACGUCCCUGCCCUUUGUACACACCGCCCGUCGCUCCUACCGAUUGAGUGUGUUGGUGAGGAGUUUGGAUUGGCCUCGGAAGGUGGUUCGCCACCGUCCGUAGCUGAGAAGUUCUCCAAACCGCCCCACUUAGAGGAAGGAGAAGUCGUAACA